rnacentral:rRNA from 1 species
GUCUACGGCCAUGACCCCCUGAACAAGCCUGAUGUCUGAUCUUGGAAGCUAAGCAGGGUCGGGCCUGGUUCUGCUUAGUACUUGGAUGGGAAACACCUAGGAAGACCAGGUGCUGUAGAAG